UGCAAACAGUUUGAGUGCUCAUUCUGUACCGGAUGUUCAAUCUUUCCCAAGUUAACUCUCUGCUACUUUUAGACCAAUUCCUGGAGGAUCAGAGAAGAGCUUGGCAGAUCUUCAAAUGGAUCCAGAGGGCUCUACACUGUAAAUUGAUGGGAAAGGAGAAACCAAACAGCCAAAAUGGCAUAACAGAACAUGUUUGAGGAUGGCACAGAUGUGACAUGGCAAGAACAAGAUUAGAGAACCCUCUGGCUAUGAUACUCUGGGUUCAAAUCCUAACUUCAUCAUUUAUUAGCUUUGUGAUCUUGGAUAAGUAAUUUAAUCCCUCUAAGAUUUUUUCCUUAACUGAAAAAUGGGUAUGAUGAGCUAAUCCCUAUCCUGUGGGGCCAGUGGGUGAUCAGGCAAGUAAGUGGUUGACACAGAGUCUGCAUAGAGAAAGGGCUCAAUAUGUGUUAAUGCUUAUGUGUGUUAGUUUGAUACAAAGGAAAAGGUUAAUGGAAACAUUUUUUGAGUUACACCUUUGGCUGUAGAGCUGGGAGAUGCUUAGAUUAUUGAUAAUGCACACUACACACAUAAUAGAGCAAUUGUAAACAUCUUCAAUACAAUCUUAGGGGCAUCCUUGAAAGUAUGAUGUUGGAUUACAAGAGGGUAUUGCCUCCUUUGUACUUGACUCUUGUUGGAUGGCAUCUAUGGCAUUCUGAGAAGUUCUGGAGGUGGGAACAUUUUAAGAAGGUCAUUGGCUUCUUAGAUUAAGUUAAUAGAACUGGUUGAAGUUUGGCUAUUCUUUCCAGUUGAAAAAUGUUUGAAGGAACUAAGGGUUGGUUGGAACAUUUGAGACAAACAGAAGACUUGAAUGCUGUCUUCAAAAGUUAAAGGGUUGAUUGUGAAAGAGAGAUCUGCCUAUUAGCAGGGAUUGGAAACAACACAGAAGCAGAUUAUGCUUUGGGAUAGAAGGGUAAUAAUUAGAGCUGCUGAGUUUACAUGGUCCUCUGUAAGCUGGUUGUACUACUUUCCCUGGAAGAUUUGCACAUAAACUGUAACACCCUGACAAGAGACACCGAGAAGGGCAUUUUUACCUGGAGCUGGAGUUGUUAAGAUAACCUUGACUCUAAC
rnacentral:lncRNA from 1 species